GAUGAACGCUGGCGGCGUGCCUAAUACAUGCAAGUCGAGCGAACAGAUGAGGAGCUUGCUCCUCUGACGUUAGCGGCGGACGGGUGAGUAACACGCGGAUAACCUACCUAUAAGACUGGGAUAACUUCGGGAAACCGGAGCUAAUACCGGAUAAUAUAUUGAACCGCAUGGUUCAAUAGUGAAAGACGGUUUUGCUGUCACUUAUAGAUGGAUCCGCGCCGCAUUAGCUAGUUGGUAAGGUAACGGCUUACCAAGGCAACGAUGCGUAGCCGACCUGAGAGGGUGAUCGGCCACACUGGAACUGAGACACGGUCCAGACUCCUACGGGAGGCAGCAGUAGGGAAUCUUCCGCAAAGGGCGAAAGCCUGACGGAGCAACGCCGCGUGAGUGAUGAAGGUCUUCGGAUCGUAAAACUCUGUUAUUAGGGAAGAACAAAUGUGUAAGUAACUAUGCACGUCUUGACGGUACCUAAUCAGAAAGCCACGGCUAACUACGUG
rnacentral:rRNA from 1 species